rnacentral:lncRNA from 1 species
AUGUUCGAGCUUAGAUGGUUGACAAUUCGGCGUAUUUUGGGGUGUUACAAGUCUACCCCCCUUAAAAGAGGUUUCGUCCCCGAAACCUGAGCACAUAACCAAUUUAAAUACUGACAUACCGAAGAGAAAAGGAUAGUGUUUCCUCAUUUCGUCUUCUGCUUCCCACGUAAGAUCCGAACCUUUCCGGUGCCGCCAUUGCACCAACACCUGUUUAACAGCUUUGUUGCGGAGAUUCUUCACUUUGAAGUCUUUAAUGGCUAUGGGUCUUUCAACAUAGUUUAACCCCUCGUCCAACUCAAUGUCAUCGAGAGGUACUAAUGUUGUGUCAUCCGCAAGACAUUUCCUCAAUUGCGACACGUGGAAGGUAUUGUGAAUCCCCUCUAGAGCAGGCGGUAAUUCUAAUCGAUACGCAACCCUUCCAACCCGAGCUAAGAUUUUAAACGGUCCGAUGUAACGGGGACCUAACUUACCCCGUUUGCGAAAACGGAUUAUACCCUUCCAUGGGGACACUUUUAGCAAGACAAAAUCUCCGACUUGGAAUUCAAUAGGACGCCUUCUCUUGUCUGCAUAAGCUUUUUGCCGAUCUUGGGCUGCUUUCAACUUUGUUCUAACCAUUUCAAUCUUUUCAUUCGUUACUGCUAUUAAAUCACUUGGUGCAAGCUCUCUUUGUCCUACUUCGCCCCAACAUACGGGAGUCCUACAUUUUCUCCCGUAUAGUAGUUCGUAAGGUGCCAUUUGAAUACCACUAUGGUAACUGUUAUUAUAAGAAAAUUCGACCAGUGGCAAUUGGUCGUCCCAACUUCCCCCAAAAUCUAAGGCACACACCCUCAGCAUAUCAACAAGUGUUUGAAUGGUUCUUUCUGACUGGCCGUCAGUUUGAGGGUGGUAGGCGAUACUUAUGUGCAAUUUCGUACCCACACUCUCAUGAAACUUUUGCCAGUAACGAGAAGUAAAUCUAGUGUCCCGAUCCGAGACAAUCGACACGGGCACUCCGUGUCGGGAUAUGAUCUCGUUCAUAUAAAUUUCUGCCAUCUUCUCGGAAGAGUAAGCUUCUUUGAUGGGUAGAAAGUGAGCGCUUUUUGUAAGUCGGUCUACGAUUACCCAUAUUGUAUCGUGCCCUUUCUUUGUUUUAGGAAGCUUGGUUAUCAAAUCCAUCGUUAGUUCUUCCCACUUCCAUACCGGUAUCUCCAAGGGUUGUAAUUUCCCGUACGGCUUUUGAUGUUCUGCUUUCACUUGGGAGCAUGUUAAACAUUUCGCGACGUAUUUAACUAUGUCACGCUUCAUGCCCGGCCACCAAUAAUUGGCUUUCAAGUCCCGAUACAUCUUUGUAGCCCCAGGAUGGACCGAAUAUCGAGACUUAUGUGCCUCGUCGAGCAAAGCAGCCUUGACUUCACAGAAUCGUGGGAUCCAGAUUCGGCCGAACCGCGUCUUAAGUCCGGUCGAAUUCUCUUCUAGAUUAUCGAUCACACCUUUUAAUCGUUCUUUCUUCAGGUCUUCCGCUCCGAGCGACUUUAUU